rnacentral:rRNA from 1 species
ACGUACACUCCUGCGGGAGGCAGCAGUGGGGAAUAUUGGACAAUGGGCGCAAGCCUGAUCCAGCCAUGCCGCGUGAGUGAUGAAGGCCCUAGGGUUGUAAAGCUCUUUUGUGCGGGAAGAUAAUGACGGUACCGCAAGAAUAAGCCCCGGCUAACUUCGUGCCAGCAGCCGCGGUAAUACGAAGGGGGCUAGCGUUGCUCGGAAUCACUGGGCGUAAAGGGUGCGUAGGCGGGUCUUUAAGUCAGGGGUGAAAUCCUGGAGCUCAACUCCAGAACUGCCUUUGAUACUGAAGAUCUUGAGUUCGGGAGAGGUGAGUGGAACUGCGAGUGUAGAGGUGAAAUUCGUAGAUAUUCGCAAGAACACCAGUGGCGAAGGCGGCUCACUGGCCCGAUACUGACGCUGAGGCACGAAAGCGUGGGGAGCAAACAGGAUUAGAAACCCCGGUAGUCCCA